rnacentral:rRNA from 1 species
GCAAACAGGAUUAGAUACCCUGGUAGUCCACGCCGUAAACGAUGUCGACUUGGAGGUUGUGCCCUUGAGGCGUGGCUUCCGGAGCUAACGCGUUAAGUCGACCGCCUGGGGAGUACGGCCGCAAGGUUAAAACUCAAAUGAAUUGACGGGGGCCCGCACAAGCGGUGGAGCAUGUGGUUUAAUUCGAUGCAACGCGAAGAACCUUACCUGGUCUUGACAUCCACGGAAGUUUUCAGAGAUGAGAAUGUGCCUUCGGGAACCGUGAGACAGGUGCUGCAUGGCUGUCGUCAGCUCGUGUUGUGAAAUGUUGGGUUAAGUCCCGCAACGAGCGCAACCCUUAUCCUUUGUUGCCAGCGGUCCGGCCGGGAACUCAAAGGAGACUGCCAGUGAUAAACUGGAGGAAGGUGGGGAUGACGUCAAGUCAUCAUGGCCCUUACGACCAGGGCUACACACGUGCUACAAUGGCGCAUACAAAGAGAAGCGACCUCGCGAGAGCAAGCGGACCUCAUAAAGUGCGUCGUAGUCCGGAUUGGAGUCUGCAACUCGACUCCAUGAAGUCGGAAUCGCUAGUAAUCGUGGAUCAGAAUGCCACGGUGAAUACGUUCCCGGGCCUUGUACACACCGCCCGUCACACCAUGGGAGUGGGUUGCAAAAGAAGUAGAUAGCUUAACCUUCGGGAGGGCGCUUACCACUUUGUGAUUCAUGACUGGGGUGAAGUCGUAACAAGGUAA